AUGAAGAUCAAUGGGAUACAAGGCACAGAGAUCCUAUUAAAUGAUAGAAUUAUAUAUGAUAAAGGUAUGAACACCACUAAGGUGUAACUGUUCUCAUGCCAUAUACAAUUCCUGCAAGAGACUCUCUGGUGUGUAAUGUCAAAAUGAGAUUACUGUGGGAGAUAUACUUUUUUCAGUCUGAAAUAACCCUACUCUCACCUCUUUUCCAGGGCAGAAAUUUGAGUCUUUUGUUGGACUGAUGGGUAAAAGGAGCUCAGAGGAACAAGGUUCCUUCUAAUGGAUCUCCAAAGCAGCUACAUACAACUUUGAAUCGAAAGAAUCAAGUGUGAACCAGGAUGCACUGAACAUGUGUUUGCAUGAUUGUUUCAGUCACGUGUGAUGUCCAAUAUUUUGAAAACAUUUAGCAUCAAAUGAAACAGUACUUGCAAAAAUUGCUUUGGACAAUUAAGGAAGAUGCAUAUUACUGUGGUGUGAAAUGUCAAAUCUAUUCAGACAAAUAACCUGUUAGUGCUCUGAAAACAUUCAUAUUGUGCAUGUAAUGUGGCAGAAUACUUACAUCAAAAGUAAAACCACUAAACUGAGAAACGCUGUAUGAAGGUGGAGACAUGGUGCAGACAAAGCAGAUGAAUAAACUAGAGCAAAAUAAGUAUCACAAUUAAAUGAAUUAAAUUUCAGUAGGCCUACUGAACGUAGUAAUGCAGUAUCAACAUGCAGCUCUUAUCAGAAUUCAUUGCAUUACAAGUCUAUUACAUGUUUAUUAAGUGACUUUGUACAAUACAUAUAUAAAAAUACAGAUGAGUACAUAGCCAAAGCAAAAUAUGGUGUUGACUUUCCUUUCCCACAUAAUCUGAUGACAUGUGGAGUUACAGAAAUAUUCCUUUCAUUUAUUUUUGCUCUUUGUAUGACUACUGAAUGUAUUUUGAACAGUCAAUUCUCUUCAGAAACUGGUCAAAGCUUCAGAAAAAUUCUCCAUACAAAAAAAACAUUACUUUAGCUGGCUCGGUAUAUAUAAAAAAUAAACUAACUGAAAUAUAACAUUUAUGACGUUAAUGGAGGUCCAAGGCUAGUGAAAUUUGCUAAAAACAGAAGAAAGCGUUACAUUUUGGAAAAAGCUUCAGCCAUAA